rnacentral:rRNA from 1 species
AGAGUUUGAUCCUGGCUCAGGAUGAACGCUGGCGGCGUGCCUAAUACAUGCAAGUCGAGCGAACGGACGAGAAGCUUGCUUCUCUGAUGUUAGCGGCGGACGGGUGAGUAACACGUGGAUAACCUACCUAUAAGACUGGGAUAACUUCGGGAAACCGGAGCUAAUACCGGAUAAUAUUUUGAACCGCAUGGUUCAAAAGUGAAAGACGGUCUUGCUGUCACUUAUAGAUGGAUCCGCGCUGCAUUAGCUAGUUGGUAAGGUAACGGCUUACCAAGGCAACGAUGCAUAGCCGACCUGAGAGGGUGAUCGGCCACACUGGAACUGAGACACGGUCCAGACUCCUACGGGAGGCAGCAGUAGGGAAUCUUCCGCAAUGGGCGAAAGCCUGACGGAGCAACGCCGCGUGAGUGAUGAAGGUCUUCGGAUCGUAAAACUCUGUUAUUAGGGAAGAACAUAUGUGUAAGUAACUGUGCACAUCUUGACGGUACCUAAUCAGAAAGCCACGGCUAACUACGUGCCAGCAGCCGCGGUAAUACGUAGGUGGCAAGCGUUAUCCGGAAUUAUUGGGCGUAAAGCGCGCGUAGGCGGUUUUUUAAGUCUGAUGUGAAAGCCCACGGCUCAACCGUGGAGGGUCAUUGGAAACUGGAAAACUUGAGUGCAGAAGAGGAAAGUGGAAUUCCAUGUGUAGCGGUGAAAUGCGCAGAGAUAUGGAGGAACACCAGUGGCGAAGGCGACUUUCUGGUCUGUAACUGACGCUGAUGUGCGAAAGCGUGGGGAUCAAACAGGAUUAGAUACCCUGGUAGUCCACGCCGUAAACGAUGAGUGCUAAGUGUUAGGGGGUUUCCGCCCCUUAGUGCUGCAGCUAACGCAUUAAGCACUCCGCCUGGGGAGUACGACCGCAAGGUUGAAACUCAAAGGAAUUGACGGGGACCCGCACAAGCGGUGGAGCAUGUGGUUUAAUUCGAAGCAACGCGAAGAACCUUACCAAAUCUUGACAUCCUUUGACAACUCUAGAGAUAGAGCCUUCCCCUUCGGGGGACAAAGUGACAGGUGGUGCAUGGUUGUCGUCAGCUCGUGUCGUGAGAUGUUGGGUUAAGUCCCGCAACGAGCGCAACCCUUAAGCUUAGUUGCCAUCAUUAAGUUGGGCACUCUAAGUUGACUGCCGGUGACAAACCGGAGGGAGGUGGGGAUGACGUCAAAUCAUCAUGCCCCUUAUGAUUUGGGCUACACACGUGCUACAAUGGACAAUACAAAGGGCAGCGAAACCGCGAGGUCA